CAGCCGCCGCGGGAAUACAGAGGGUGCGAGCGUUAAUCGGAUUUACUGGGCGUAAAGCGUGCGUAGGCGGCUUUUUAAGUCGGAUGUGAAAUCCCUGAGCUUAACUUAGGAAUUGCAUUCGAUACUGGGAAGCUAGAGUAUGGUAGAGGAUGGUAGAAUUCCAGGUGUAGCGGUGAAAUGCGUAGAGAUCUGGAGGAAUACCGAUGGCGAAGGCAGCCAUCUGGCCUAAUACUGACGCUGAGGUACGAAAGCAUGGGGAGCAAACAGGAUUAGAUACCCCGGUAGUCCCUGUCUCUUAUAC
rnacentral:rRNA from 1 species